rnacentral:rRNA from 1 species
CUCAGGAUGAACGCUAGCGGCGCGCUUAACACAUGCAAGUCGCGCGAUCGGCUCCUUCCAAAUUCCUUCGGGAAAGCGGAAGGAGUACGGAGCGGCGGACGGGUGAGUAACACGUAGCUAACCUGCCUUCGGGCGGGGGAUAGCAUCGGGAAACCGGUGUUAAUACCCCAUAUUACCAACGAAACACAGGUUACGUUGGUCAAAGUUGUCUUUGGCAACACCUGAAGAUGGGGCUGCGUCCUAUUAGCUUGACGGUGAGGUAAAGGCUCACCGUGGCGAAGAUAGGUAGGGGGCCUGAGAGGGCGAUCCCCCACACUGGAACUGAGACACGGCCCAGACUCCUACGGGAGGCAGCAGUGGGGAAUUUUCCGCAAUGGGCGAAAGCCUGACGGAGCAACGCCGCGUGUGGGAAGAAGGCCUUUGGGCUGUCAACCACUUUUCUCAGGGAAGAAGCUCUGACGGUACCUGAGGAAUCAGCCUCGGCUAACUCCGUGCCAGCAGCCGCGGUAAUACGGAGGAGGCAAGCGUUAUUCGGAAUUAUUGGGCGUAAAGCGUCCGCAGGGGGCUCAUCAAGUCUGCUGUCAAAGGUCGGAGCUCAACUCCGGUUCGGCAGUGGAAACUGGUGGGCUAGAGGGCGACAGGGGUAGAGGGAAUUCCCAGUGUAGCGGUUAAAUGCGUAUA